rnacentral:lncRNA from 1 species
CUUUGCACCAAUCGAUUCCUCAGACAUUUUAGAAUCGUCUCAUAAAUUUUAAAAAAAAAAUCGAUUGUCUAAUAUAAUAGAAAAUCUUGGAAAUGUAACAAUUCCUGCCGAAUUUCACGAUUUUCCCUAUAUAUCCUUUGUAAUUUUGGUGUAUGAUGCUGUUAACUUCAACAGCUCGUAUCUCAAAAACGAAAACGGUUACCCCCUUUUUUUAUUUUAUUUUCCGAUUUAUUUUUACAAGCAGAAUCUACAUGUAAAAUUAAAAAAAAAAUCCAUUGUGUAGUUUAAUUACGUACACUUCGCCUUAAGACAAA